rnacentral:rRNA from 1 species
AUUGAACGCUGGCGGCAGGCCUAACACAUGCAAGUCGAGCGAGCGGCGGACGGGUGAGUAAUGUAUGGGGACUGCCCGAUAGAGGGGGAUAACUACUGGAAACGGUAGCUAAUACCGCAUACUAUCGGAUAACCCAUAUGGGAUUAGCUAGUAGGUGAGGUAAUUGCGCACCUAGGCGAUGAUCCCUAGCUGGUCUGAGAGGAUGAUCAGCCACACUGGGACUGAUAAACGGCCCAGACCUCUACGGAGGGAGCAGGGGGGAAUAUUGCACAAUGGGCGCAAGCCGGAUGCAGCCAUGCCGCGUGGAUGAAGAAGGCCCUAGGGUUGUAAAGUACUUUCAGUCGGGAGGCGUUACCGACAGAAGAAGCACCGGCUAACUCCGUGCCAGCAGCCGCGGUAAUAC